rnacentral:lncRNA from 1 species
GCCCCGGUCCCUCACCUAAGGGACAACCUAAAAUAGAACCCAGGCUACCCCGAGGUUGCAGGAAGUGCCGGCCCCGUGGGGCUGGGGCCAUAGAGCUGGCCAGGCAGGGCUGCUGGGGCAGGGCGUGGCGUCUGGGCACAGGACCGCAGGCCCUUGAGGGUGCUGGAGGGGUGUAAGGGAUCCUUCUGGAAUCUCUCCACUCUCCCUGGAAUCUCACAGCUUCCCCCUUCCACCUAUUAAGCUGUCCCUCAGAGAUCCUGGAACUUUGAAUCAAGGUAUAAACUAUGCCCUCCCCAUAGGUGCUGCCCUGGGAAGCAGCAGAGCCAGCUCCAAAUUGAGGGGCACGGCACUGUGGACGGGCCCCGCAGGCCCGUAACUUGGGACAGAAGGAUCCCCUCAGGGCCACCCUAGUCAGCAUCCAAGGCAGCUGCACUGCAGGCGGGACGGAUGGAGGAUCUGGGAGUGACCGCCGCACCUGGGAGUGGUGGCUAAGGGGUCUGUGCUGCCCAGGACAAGGCCCAGGUGCGCUGGCAGGGACGGCGGUCCCCUAAAGACCCUCGUGGAAAUCCUCAAGCAAGAUCUGCCCUGGUGCGUGCUCUGAGGAAGGGACUGGGUGAGGGAGGAAGGGAGGUAACGGUGCAGAAUCGUGUCCUCAUCCUAACCCCCAAAAGCUUUCCUGGCCUCUUUAGGGGAACUGGCUUCUUCCUCUGUCUUUUCUGGAGCAGCUGUCAUUGACCCUGAUGAAAUAUCUCUUCCUUGGAGAAGACAUGUCCUCUUCCUUUCCCCUCAGUCCCUCUCUGGUAUUAUGGGGCAUCUUGUAUGUGUCAGUGUGACCAGGCUGUUUUCAAGGUGCUCUUAAAUCCUUCACUCUAUCACAUGCAACCUUCCCAACUUAAGUCCACAGGCCAAAAAGUUCACCUCAAUCCAUACCUCACAUCGUAUUGGGAAAUAAACUCAAAAUGAAGUACAGACCAAAAUGUAUAAAAAAUUAUACUUUCAGGAGAAAAUCGUUGUGAUCUUGGGUUAUGCAAACAUUUUUUAUUUACAACACAAACACAUGUAUGCUUCAUAAAAGAAAAAAUGUAUAAAUUGCAUGUUAUUAAAAUUAAGAAUUUCUGGCCAGGCGCUGUGGCUCAUGCCUGUAAUCUUAGU